rnacentral:siRNA from 1 species
UACUCUGUUUUAGGUAAUGUCUU